rnacentral:lncRNA from 1 species
CACAAUAGUUACUUAUCACAACUAAGAUGACAACACUACAAUUACAUACAAUCAAAUCGACCGAUGUUGUUCUAGUUUUUAUCGAAGGAAGCACACAGAUAAUAGUGAUUGAUAAAAUAAUCCGACUCCAGACUCAUUAAGUGACUAAUCUUCAUUCGAGUGAUAAUCAGGCUUGAAGUACCAAGGGGACAAUUAAAUCAUAAGUGUAAUUGAAACAAACAACACAAAGGAACAAGAUAAGAUACUAAGCGAGGUGGGCAACUUUUGCAAUUAUUUCCCCUGUGGUGGGAAGCUAGGAUAAUUCGGGUGUUGAUGGUUGAUGUUGUCUGUUGAAAUGUUUACUGUUUUUGGUGAAUUAUGACAACAUAUUUCUAGACAUUUCAAUGCAGCCAACUCUGACAUUUGGAAUAUAAGAAUAUUUCUUACGCAAAGCAUUUUUGCGGAUAUAGAAGUGAGCCACAGUCGUACCCAACAACAUUUUGAGAAUUUCGUUGCUGUUUUUGUAGUUUAACAUUGGAUGGGAGGUGUGUCAUUCUAAAAAUCUAAAAAAAAAACACUCUUAAUGAAUAAAUAUUUGAACCUGAAAUAUCUGAC